AACGUAGGAGGCGAGCGUUAUCCGGAUUCAUUGGGCGUAAAGGGCAAGUAGGCGGCAGCCAAAGUUGGUUGUGACAUCUCCCGGCUCAACUGGGAGGGAGCGGCCAAAACUAGGCAACUAGAGGGCAGAAGAGGGAAGCGGAAUUCCUAGUGUAGCGGUGGAAUGCUCAGAUAUUAGGAAGAACACCAGUGGCGAAGGCGGCUUUCUGGUCUGCACCUGACGCUGAGAGGCGAAAGCUAGGGGAGCGAACGGG
rnacentral:rRNA from 1 species